rnacentral:rRNA from 1 species
GAUGAACGCUAGCGGCAGGCUUAAUACAUGCAAGUCGAGGGGCAGCAGGAAUAGCAAUAUUUGCUGGCGACCGGCGCACGGGUGCGUCACACGUAUACAAUCUGCCUUUAACAGGGGGAUAGCCCGGAGAACUCCGGAUUCAUACCCCAUAACAAUAGAACAAGCAUUUGCUUUAUUUAAAAGCUCCGGCGGUUAGAGAUGAGUAUGCGUCUGAUUAGCUAGUUGGGGAGGUAACGGCUCACCAAGGCGACGAUCAGUAGGGGAUCUGAGAGGAUUAACCCCCACACGGAUACUGAGACACGGAUCCGACUCCUACGGGAGGCAGCAGUAAGGAAUAUUGGACAAUGCCCGCAAGGGUGAUCCAGCCAUGCCGCGUGCAGGAAGACGGCCCUAUGGGUUGUAAACUGCUUUUGUACCGGAGAAAACCUCCCCUCGUGAGGGGAGCUGAUAGUAUGGUAAGAAUAAGCAUCGGCUAACUUCGUGCCAGCAGCCGCCGUAA